rnacentral:misc_RNA from 1 species
AAAUAAUAGUGGGCCUGCCACAAACAAACAAAGAAGAAGGACUAGAAUAAAAAAGUAAGACCCAAGGCCCAUAACAAGCAGAAACCCAGCAAAACCCAAAACAAAAUACAUCUUUAGGCUACAAUUAAGGCCAUUUAUUAACCCAAAGUCUAUGGUUAUCACCACCAGAACAAGCUCUUGGGCUAUCAAUGGGCUUUGAACAGUUUCCGUCCAAGCCCAAUCCAGUAUAUCUCCAUCGCUUUACCCGUAGCAAUGGAGAAGGGGAGAAUUUUUGUCGCAGUACACUUGGCUAGCGAAACACCUGCCAAGCGAGAGAAAGAUGGACCACUCAAAGCAAAAGUUUAGCCCUUUGAUGUCCUGUUUGAAGCCACUGGAGGUGGCCGGAAAUGGCAUGUGGGUGUCUAUUAUCGGCGUGAAUCGACGUGGAGGAUGCUGGGAAUGGAUGCCUCAUGCAACCACCCAUUUGGCUGUCCCGCAGCUUCUCAAAUGACCCAUCAGUGGAGGAGAACAUUACAAUUUUACUUCUUCAAUCUGUUUUGUAGCCCAUAAUUGUGAUUUCGAGAAUACCCCUGAUAUUAGGAGUCCAAAAACGGCGAGGCAAGGGACAACAGAAGAACAUCCGGGGCAUUUUCGUCUAAAAAAACUUGAACAGAUUCUCUCUGGCGAGAGCUCUUUCUACCUAUUCAUUGAACAUUUGCACGCAUAUUUUCGUCUGUGGCAAGCCAGAUAUCUCUGAUCUCUCUCUCUGAAAGUGAGAGUAAAGACCAGAGACAGAGAGAUCUAAUAAAGCAUUUUUAUAUAAAAUACAUGAUGAAUCUCAUCAUUAAACAAAUGUACCAAUAAAAACUCCCUACUCCCUUGCAGUACACAGAGAAUGUCGUCCAAAAUUCAGCUAUAAACUUCCGUUAUUGGACUCUCUUUGCUCCUCGCUAUCUCUCGGAGAUUCUGACGUCAUCUUUUCGAUGCAACAUAUCCUCCAUUGAUUACCAUUGUUGAAGAAACAUCAAGGUUUAUAACGUAUCUGUCUCGCGCUGAGAUACUGUAAGGUAGCUGAGGACGGAUGUUUUUAAGGCAUUGAAAUUCCAUCGAGAUCAACAACUUAACAUCUACAAUUGCAGGUACAAGACAACUAUAUCGAGAGUUUAUUUCUCCAUUAUUUCGGGAAGUAGAAUUUGGCAAACUUCCUUUUUUCUCCUUAAUAAUUUAGAUUGCUGUGUAAAUGUGAAGUGAGAAUUAUCAUCCUUUGCCCUCUCCUCCCAUUGCGCAAUGUACUUUUUUUAGAAAAAAU